rnacentral:rRNA from 1 species
GACGAACGCUGGCGGCGUGCUUAACUCAUGCAAGUCGAACGAGGUCCAUCCUCAUUUCGGUGAGGUGAAGACCUAGUGGCGAACGGGUGAGUAACACGUGAGAAACCUGCCCCGGAGACCGGGAUAACAGCGGGAAACCGCUGCUAAUACCGGAUGCCUUCGUCGGAUCGCAUGGUCUGACGAAGAAAUGGAUUCCGCUCCGGGAGGGUCUCGCGGCCUAUCAGCUUGUUGGUGGGGUAACGGCCUACCAAGGCAUCGACGGGUAGCUGGUCUGAGAGGACGAUCAGCCACACUGGGACUGAGACACGGCCCAGACUCCUACGGGAGGCAGCAGUGGGGAAUCUUGCACAAUGGGCGAAAGCCUGAUGCAGCAACGCCGCGUGGGGGAUGAAGGCCCUCGGGUUGUAAACCCCUUUCAGCAGGGACGAAACUGACGGGUACCUGCAGAAGAAGCCCCGGCCAACUACGUGCCAGCAGCCGCGGUAAGACGUAGGGGGCGAGCGUUGUCCGGAUUUAUUGGGCGUAAAGAGCUCGUAGGCGGUUUGGCAAGUCGGAUGUGAAACCUCCAGGCUUAACCUGGAGACGCCAUUCGAUACUGCUAUGACUUGAGUCCGGGUAGGGGCGCAUGGAAUACCCCGGUGUAGCGGUGAAAUGCUUAGAUAUCGGGUGGAACACCAGUGGCGAAGGCGGUGC